rnacentral:rRNA from 1 species
GUUCAAGCGGUAGGAGAGCGUCGUAACCGGGCUGAAGUCGUACCGUAAGGAGCGGUGGACUGGUUACGAGUGAGAAUGUUGGCAUCAGUAGCGAGAUGUGGGUGAGAAUCCCACAGGCCGAAAACCUAAGGUUUCCUCAGGAAGGUUCGUCCGCUGAGGGUUAGUCGGGACCUAAGCCGAGGCCGAAAGGCGUAGGUGAUGGACAACUGGUUGAUAUUCCAGUACCACUACCAUCGUUAUUAUCGAUGGCGUGACGCAGGAGGAUAGUGUGUGCUAGCUAUUGGAUGCUAGUCUAAGCGUUUAGGCAGUGAGAGUAGGCAAAUCCGCUCUCAUAAUGCUGAGGCGUGAUGGGGAAGGUUCUACGGAACCGAAGUACAUGAUUCCACGCUGCCAAGAAAAGCGUCUAGAGAGAGAAGUAGUGCCCGUACCGCAAACCGACACAGGUAGGUGAGGAGAGAAUCCUAAGGCCGGCGGAAGAAUUACAGUUAAGGAACUCGGCAAAUUGACCCCGUAAGUUCGCGAGAAGGGGUGCCUACGAGAGUAGGCCGCAGAGAAUAGGCCCAAGCAACUGUUUAGCAAAAACACAGGUCUCUGCUAAAGCGUAAGCUGAUGUAUAGGGGCUGACGCCUGCCCGGUGCUGGAAGGUUAAGGGGAACACUUAGCGCAAGCGAAGGUGUGAACUUAAGCCCCAGUAAACGGCGGCCGUAACUAUAACGGUCCUAAGGUAGCGAAAUUCCUUGUCAGGUAAGUUCUGACCCGCACGAAUGGCGUAAUGACUUGGGCACUGUCUCAACUGUAAAUCCGGCGAAGUUGUAGUGCGAGUGAAGAUGCUCGCUACCCGCGAUUGGACGGAAAGACCCCGUAGAGCUUUACUGUAGCUUAGCAUUGAGUUUUGGUAUUGUCUGUACAGGAUAGGUGGGAGACUAGGAAACCAGGGCGUCAGCCUUGGUGGAGUCAACCUUGGGAUACCACCCUGACAGUACUGAAAUUCUAACUGGCGGCCAUGAAUCUGGUCACAGGACAUUGUUAGGUGGGCAGUUUGACUGGGGCGGUCGCCUCCUAAAAAGUAACGGAGGCGCCCAAAGGUUCCCUCAGAACGGUCGGAAAUCGUUCGAAGAGUGCAAAGGCAGAAGGGAGCCUGACUGCGACACCCACAAGUGGAGCAGGGACGAAAGUCGGGCUUAGUGAUCCGGUGGUACCUCGUGGGAGGGCCAUCGCUCAACGGAUAAAAGCUACCUCGGGGAUAACAGGCUGAUCUCCCCCAAGAGUCCACAUCGACGGGGAGGUUUGGCACCUCGAUGUCGGCUCGUCGCAUCCUGGGGCUGAAGUAGGUCCCAAGGGUUGGGCUGUUCGCCCAUUAAAGCGGCACGCGAGCUGGGUUCAGAACGUCGUGAGACAGUUCGGUCCCUAUCCGUCGCGGGCGUAGGAAAUUUGAGAGGAGCUGUCCUUAGUACGAGAGGACCGGGAUGGACUGACCUCUGGUGUACCAGUUGUUCCGCCAGGAGCACAGCUGGGUAGCUAAGUCGGGAAUGGAUAAACGCUGAAAGCAUCUAAGCGUGAAGCCAACCUCAAGAUGAGAUUUCCCAUAGCGUAAGCUAGUAAGAUCCCUUGAAGAACACAAGGUUGAUAGGUCGGGGGUGUAAGC